UGGCAACCACUAAUGCAACACCUACAUUAAAUGAAUAAUAUUUAAAUAGCCCGAACCAUAACAAAUGAAAAGAACAACACACGAAAGAAAAAACCAGUGUUGUUUGGACCGGACCGAACCGGACAAUUCGACCGGUUCAAUCACUGACCGGAUAGACAAACGGUUCCAGUUACUCCAAAAAGCCAUCCUUGUAUUUAGCACGCUUCUGCCCAUUGAGAUUUCGGUUCAACCGGGUUGAACCGCUUAAAACCAGAAUAACCCAGAUGGUUGAACCGGCUGGUUUGCAGAGUUAAGAAAGGGGAUAGUUAAGAAAUCCUUCCCCAACAAAUUGAAAACCUUCCCCUAGAAAUCAAAUAUGCAAUUUGAAAAUCCUUCCAUUAACUCUCAAAGACUCAAACUCACAAAUCUUAACUUCUACGUGCCUUCGUCUUCUCUUUGUCGUGAGCUUCGUUAACUUCUCUAUGCCUUCUUCUUCGUGCUGUAAGCUUUGUUGUUGUCUCUAUGUGUUGCUGCUAGAGCAAACUCUGAAACAGCGGUAAGUAUAUUCUAUAUAUGAGACUGUUGAGUUUUGAGAGUUAAGAUAGAGAUACAUGGGAAGAUGAAACAACUCUGGUCAUAGAGAAAAAAAAAUGCACUAAAUGCCUCUACAAAAGAUAAUAGAGUCUAGAGUUAC
rnacentral:lncRNA from 1 species